AGUCAUAGAUAGAUGUAGAAUAGACAAUGGAGGUUGUGCACACUAUUGUAAUAAUGUAGAUGGUAGGAGCAUCUGUAGCUGUCAGGAGGGUUACAGACUUGGAAGAGACACACGAAGCUGUGAGAUUAUUGAAAAUGUAGAAUAGACAACGGAGGUUGUGCACAUUAUUGUAAUAAUGUAGAUGGUAGGACCAUCUGUAGCUGUCAAGAGGGUUACAGACUUGGAAGAGACACACGAAGCUGUG